rnacentral:lncRNA from 1 species
UGAUUAAAAACUCAACCCAAAAUGGAUUAAAAUCUUAAAUGGAACACUCGAAGCAAAUUUCGAGAAGAAAACCAAUGGGAAAUACUUCAGUCCAUUGGAAUGGGCAGGGACUUUAUGGACAAGAUGCCAAAAGUUCAGGAAACGAGCAAAAGUAGACAAAUGGGAUUUUAUAAAAGUUUCUGCACAGCAACACUCAACAGAAUGCAGACAACAUACAGAAUGGGAGACAAUAUUUACAACAUAUACAUUUGACAAGAGGUAGAUACAUAGAAUAUAUAACAAACUCCAAAUAAUACAACCAGAUUUUAAAAAUAGGCAGUAGAUCUAAAUAGACAUUUUUCAAAAAAAAAAAAUAAAUAAAAUAAAUAACAAAUGGCCAACAGGUACGUGCAGAAAUGCUCAACAUCACUAAUCAUCAGGGGAAUACAGAUCAAAACCACAAUGAAGUAUCACCUCCAGUAAGAAUGGCUGGUAUAAAAAAGACUAAAGAUACCAUGUGGUAACAUGGAUGUGGAGGAAAGGGCACCUUGCACACUGUUGGUGGCAAUGUAAAUUAGUAUAGCUGUUAUGGAAAACAGUAUGAAGCUUCCUCAUAAAUAUUAAAAAUAGAACUAUGAUGAUGAUGGUCCAAUAAUUCUACUACUGGGAAUAUAUUUGAAGGAAAUGAAAUUGGUAUGUAAAAGAACUAUCUAUCCUACUAUGUACAUUGCUGGAUUCUUCACAGUAGCAGAGAAGUGGAAAUAAGAUUAUCUAAGUGUUCAUGAACUGAUUAAUGGAUGAAGAAAAUGUGGUAUGUAACAUGCACAAUCACAUCUUUUGCAACAACAUCAAUGGAACUGUUUCAUUUUGUGAAAUGAAACAAGUCAGGUACAAAAAGACAAGUACCACAUGAUCUCAUUCAUGUGGAAUAUAAAAAAACAUUUAUUUCAUAGAUGUGAGUAGAAUGGUAGUUACCAGAGGUCAGGGACAGUGUGGAGGAAGGGAUGAGGAAAGUUCCAACAGUGGGUACUAAGUUAUAGUUAGAUUGGAGCAAAAAACUCUGGGCUAUUGUUGUAAAGUAUUAUGACUUAUAGAUAACAGUUAUGAACUGCACAUUUCAGAAGCUAGAACAAAGGAUUUUGAAAACUUUUAACAAAGAAUUGUGCUUAGAGAAAUAGGUGUGUUUACUAAUUUAAAUACUAUGUGCAGUGUACACGAAUUGAACAUUAUGUUUUUGUGUAUCAAAAAUAAAAACUUAAAAAAUGAGUAAUUCUAGAAUUUAGCUGUGGCAACAUCCAGUGUUGUACACUUUUCAUCUUUAUAGCAAAAUAGCCACAUAGAAUUUUUAUAUUCCUUUAUCAAGAAUUUAGAACCUAACUGAAGAGUAAUUUUUCUUUUCCAUUCUUUUCAUAACUCCAAAGUCUUAAUUACAGUUACUUAAGCUAAUUCUGACCAUGAACAACAAAAUUAAGAACAGUAGGUAAAAGCUCUUACAUUACAUACAUUUGACAAGAGGUAGUUACAUAGAAUAUAUAACAAACUCCAAAUAAUACAACCAGAUUUUAAAAAUAGGCAGUAGAUCUAAAUAGACAUUUUUAAAACAAAACAAAACAAAACAUACAAAUGGCCAACAGGUACAUGCAGAAAUGCUCAACAUCACUAAUCAUCAGGGGAAUACAGAUCAAAACCACAAACCUCCUGGCAUAUAGAUUUUCAACUUCUCCUCUUUUCUAAUGUAUUCAGUAAGGAAAAGUGAUUCUUUCUAGACCAUUGCACUCUCUUAGAUAGCAUUCUGUUAUCUCUUUCAUACAAUGUACUUAUUCAAUAAGAAUUGUUAGUAAUGUUUAAAGUUAGUAAUUUUAAAAUCAUUUAAAAGCUUCCUGGUUUUGUGUCAGCAGUAUUUUCCUUUCCUGUUCAACUCACUGGGAUAAGAAAAUUUUGUGGUCUUAACUGUUCAAGAUUAAAAUUUCAGUCAGUCAUCUCCAAAUAGCACUUGCUUUCACAUCCCUUAGGAAUUGUGGAUACCAGUAACACAAUUUUCAAUAAUUUGUAGUUCAUGUAAGAACUUUUACAUUAGGUCAAAUUCCUUGGGUUUACUUAUCUAAUAGAUGUUGCUGAUCCUGAAUCCAGGGCCUUGUGCCUACUAUGCAAGUGCUCUACAACCGGUAUAAUUUAG